CAAAAGAGGGAAGAACAGAACAGAAUUGCAAGACGAAGAAGAAGAAGAUCAGAGUUCGCAAGAGGAAACGACAUCAUUCUGAUUAUUGCCGCUUCUACCGAUUCCAAUCUUCUUCCGCCUUUUUUUUUUUUUUUUUUUCCUUCUGUUUCCUCGGGUGUUACAGCCAAGCUUCAAUUUUUCAUCAUUCUGUAGGCGCCGAAGAGAUGAAGAUGUUGAAAUCUUAUAUCGUGAAAGCUGCUUUUAGAAACCAUGGCUAUAAUCUUUUCCAGUUCAUUCCACAGGUAAUGUUGUGCCUUGAACCUUAUCUUCUGUGGAUGCAUCUUUAUUAAUAUUGUUAAUUAUAUUGCUUUCCUAGAGGGGGGUGCACAUCAGAAACAAGGAGGCAACAGAGUGGAUGAAGGCUAGACAACGGGGUGCAACCAUUCAGCAAAAGUAUUUAUGCAAAAAGGUCAUUGAUCUUCUAAAUGAAGCUUGGAACAAGUUCAACUAAGAAGAGAGGUAGGCAGUAGCCAAGUCAUCAAGCCGGCUAUAGUGUUGCUGCAACUGUUGUAAUUUUAUACCAUUUCUAAGUCAGGGUUUGUUCCCCUUUGCCGAUCUUUUACAAAUCUUUACACUUUAGCUUUGUGAAUGUAAGCUCCAAGAAAUUUGAAUUUUAAACAUAUUUCAGCUCCUACUAUAUAAAGAGGUAGUAACUCUA